rnacentral:rRNA from 1 species
GGCGGCAUGCCUUACACAUGCAAGUCGAACGGCAGCACGGGAGCAAUCCUGGUGGCGAGUGGCGAACGGGUGAGUAAUAUAUCGGAACGUGCCCGGUCGUGGGGGAUAACGUAGCGAAAGCUACGCUAAUACCGCAUACGAUCUACGGAUGAAAGCGGGGGAUCGCAAGACCUCGCGCGAUUGGAGCGGCCGAUAUCAGAUUAGGUAGUUGGUGAGGUAAAGGCUCACCAAGCCGACGAUCUGUAGCUGGUCUGAGAGGACGACCAGCCACACUGGGACUGAGACACGGCCCAGACUCCUACGGGAGGCAGCAGUGGGGAAUUUUGGACAAUGGGCGCAAGCCUGAUCCAGCAAUGCCGCGUGCAGGAUGAAGGCCUUCGGGUCGUAAACUGCUUUUGUACGGAACGAAACGGUGAGCUCUAAUACAGUUUGCUAAUGACGGUACCAUAAGAAUAAGCACCGGCUAACUACGUG